UGGGUUUGCAGUGUUCAGUGUUUGCAGAGUUGAAGCAUUUGCAGUGUUUGUAGCUCCAGUUAAGAAUGUAACAACUGGCACUUACUGCUAAUUGAAUGAGUAAACAUAUCAAAGCGACCAAUGAGUGGCAUGUGAUGCUAUGAAGUCCUACAAUUCCUCAGUGGCCUCCCAAACUCUGGGGGUCAAAGGUCAAAUAGUUAGCCCCGAGUUUGGUGCUAUUAACAGAGUUCAAAGGUCAGUUUAUGGCAACUAGUCUCACACUUGUCACCAAAAGUGUACCAAGUAAAAACUAAAGGUUGAAAUGAGCGUCUUUGAGUCAUUUAUUAUGUUUAUUUUGGCUUAUAGAUCACUUUGCUUUAUAUUUAAAGAAACCAGAAAGUAAAACUCUUUAGUUUUUGGUGUUUUGAGUUAAACAUGUACAGAUUAAAACAGAAAGUUAACUUUUUUCCUCUAAAAUCUGCUAGCUGAUUGAGGAGAUAAUUAUAUUUUGUUUUUUUUCAGGAUGAUAAACAUAAACAUGGAUGGAGAGAAGUAUGUUCCAUUCAGGUAUGCAAACAUAAGUUGGGGGCUUAUUCUGCAAAUCUCAUGAAUAUUCAGCCAAGCUGUACUUUAAUAAACAUGAAAGGCAUAAAUGCAGAUAAAUAAACCAUUAUGUUAUUACCAUGUUUUUCUCCUUGUACCUCUAAUCUGCUAUUCUGACUUUUGUCAUUCUGGCACUCGCUGUCCUUUUGGCUGACCCCUCCAACAACCACAGCACCUGUUCCCUACCACAAGUGGAGCAGAGAAGCUAUUAAAACCCAAAAUAUCUCCCAUUGAAGUGCAGCUCAGCUCAUCUCACAGGCACUAUUCAAACAUCGAUCUGUGCGUAUUAUGGAGCAGGAACCGCCAAGGUUCAACGAGGAAUUUUCAAUCAGGACUUUCCAGCAUCUGCUGACAUUCGAUGGAUUUGAGCGAAGGACGCCACAAGAACCUGCUGCUCACAGUCUCUACGUGGGAAUUUAUUUCAUUAAAAAAG